AUAAACUUAAGGUGCUGCACUUUGUAUAACGCAAGGUUACCGAAAAGAGGUCAAUUUAUAUAGUAUAAAUAACUAAACAAGGUUUCAAGUUAAAAGUCGUUAUUUCAAGUCUUAAAUUAAAACUGAGCAAUAAACCAACAAAAUAUAAAAGUUACCUCAGCAGUAAUGAAGUUCAUGUGGUUAGAUUUAUCAUCAAAGUCUUAAACUAAGGACUAUUAAUUGAAAACACAGCUAAGGAGAUGCGGUUUGUUAUGAGGUGUAUACACAAGGCAAAAGUUUUAAUAAAACUUAUGAGAUUUAUUCACAUUUACCUAAAUUAGGAAUAUAAACUACAAACUUAAAAUUGAAAAGCAGAACUUAUUUUUUUAAAUUCUACACGUGUGUGGUUAAAAACUAGAAAUUCAAAGAUUUUUCGGUAGCAAAGGAAAGCUGAAUUGGCAGUUUGAAAAACAAUAGUGCUGCUAAGAUAUACUUUUUGAAUUUCUGCGUUCAGGUUCAAUUCAAAGGGCAGCAAAUUUAUAGAAAAACUGAAAUUUCAAAUUUGCAAGAUAAAAAUAUAAUUGCUGAAAGAACUACUUCCUUAACGAACGUUUUGUUAAAGGUUUUUCCAGAUACAAAUUUUUGUUCGUCAGUCCGUAUGUCCGUACAUCCGGGAAGGUUUUUUCGUCGUCUAUAUCUUUACAACCAGUAGAGGUAUAGACUUGAAAUAAAUGUAGUUAUACAGAUACCUAGAAAGAUGCAGAAAUGACUCUCCAGCUAAUUAAGUGGGUGGUUUUUUAUAUUAGCAAUUUAAAAAACAAAUGAAUAUAUUGGUUGAUCCAAAAUAUCUCACGAACCAAUAGCGCUAACGACUUCAACUAAAUUUUAUAUAAUGUAUUUUAACGUGAUACAAAACUUGUAUAAUUUUGAAAGAAAAAUCAAUUUUUUUUAUAGAUCUAUAAAAUUGAACAAAAAAAAUAUCACUUCGAACAUUUUACGAACAAAAAUGGUUUUAUCUCCAAGAUACAUUCAAUUGACAACUUUUGUACGAUAACAGAAAAAGCUGACAUAAUGACAAUUAUCAAAAUACACAAAAUUAGGCCUUAUUAAGUGCAAAUGCCGAUAUGGAAGAAAAAAUGUGUCCUAUUUCCACGAAAUUUUAGAAUUUUAUAUCAUUCAGUUGGCAUCUUUGACUCGCGUUAAAAUGACUUUUUUCCCAACUAGAAAUUGAAACA